rnacentral:rRNA from 1 species
UACGGAGGGGGCUAGCGUUGUUCGGAAUUACUGGGCGUAAAGCGCACGUAGGCGGACUUUUAAGUCGGGGGUGAAAUCCCAGGGCUCAACCCUGGAACUGCCUUCGAUACUGGAGGUCUGGAGGUCGAGAGAGGCGAGUGGAAUGCCGAGUGUAGAGGUGAAAUUCGUAGAUAUUCGGCGGAACACCAGUGGCGAAGGCGGCUCGCUGGCUCGAUACUGACGCUGAGGUGCGAAAGUGUGGGGAUCAAACAGG